rnacentral:rRNA from 1 species
ACUCCUACGGGAGGCAGCAGUGGGAAUAUUGCACAAUGGGAAGCCAUCGAUGCAGCAACGACCGCGUGGGAGGAUGACACAUUUCGGUGCGUAAACUCCUUUUAUAUAGGAAGAUAAUGACGGUACUAUAUGAAUAAGCGCCGGCUAAACUCCGUGCCAGCAGCCGCGGUAAUACGGAGGGCGCAAGCGUUACUCGGAAUCACUGGGCGUAAAGAGCGUGUAGGCGGAUCGAUAAGUCAGGAGUGAAAUCCUAUGGCUCAACCAUAGAACUGCUCUUGAAACUGUCAAUCUAGAGUAU